UACGGGGGGGGCAAGCGUUGUUCGGAAUUACUGGGCGUAAAGGGCUCGUAGGUGGCCAACUAAGUCAGACGUGAAAUCCCUCGGCUUAACCGGGGAACUGCGUCUGAUACUGGAUGGCUUGAGAUUGGGAGAGGGAUGCGGAAUUCCAGGUGUAGCGGUGAAAUGCGUAGAGAUCUGGAGGAACACCGAUGGCGAAGGCGGCUUCCUGGACCGACACUGACGCUGAGGCGCGAAAGCUAGGGGAGCAAACGGG
rnacentral:rRNA from 1 species